UAGUCCAUGCCGUAAACGAUGAUUACUCGACAUUGGCAUUUAUGUCAGUGUCCAAGCGAAAGCAUUAAGUAAUCCACCUGGGGAGUACGAUCGCAAGAUUGAAACUCAAAGGAAUUGACGGGGGCCCGCACAAGCGGUGGAGCAUGUGGUUUAAUUCGAUGAUACGCGAGGAACCUUACCAGGGCUUAAAUGUAGAGUGACAGCUUUAGAGAUAGAGUUUUCUUCGGACACUUUACAAGGUGCUGCAUGGUUGUCGUCAGCUCGUGCCGUGAGGUGUCAGGUUAAGUCCUAUAACGAGCGCAACCCCUGUUGUUAGUUACCAGCACGUAGUGGUGGGGACUCUAACAAGACUGCCGGUGCAAACCGUGAGGAAGGUGGGGAUGACGUCAAAUCAUCACGGCCCUUACGUCCUGGGCUACACACGUGCUACAAUGGUAGGUACAGAGAGCAGCCACUACGCAAGUAGGAGCGAAUCUAUAAAACCUAUCUCAGUUCGGAUCGG
rnacentral:rRNA from 1 species